CCAGAAAAACGGUCAGAAGUCUGAGGUACCUGAGAGAAGACAGCAAAAUGAGAUCUGGAAUUUGAGGAGCACCUGUUAGGAGAAGAGCCAUCUCUACUACUCCCCAAAAGAUUCCCUGUUCUAGUUGGCCUUCUAUAUUGGUGGUUUCUGAAUACAUACCCCAAAGAACCUGAGCAUCAGUGAAUUCUGGUAUCUUCUGGGAGCCCUGGAACUAAUCUCUUGAAGAUACCAACGGAUGACUGUGUUUUAAAAGGCGAGAGAGAGAUGUCACUCAGGACUG
rnacentral:lncRNA from 10 species